rnacentral:tRNA from 1 species
CCUUCGAUAGCUCAGUUGGUAGAGCGGAGGACUGUAGAUGGAGCAAUGAGGCAUCCUUAGGUCGCUGGUUCGAAUCCGGCUCGAAGGA